GCUGGAGAUAGCAGUGUACUGUAUCUUAGUAAUUCAGUUAUCCUGCUAGCUGCAAUUCUGUUUCACAGGUUUUGAAAAGGAAGGAGUUGACUGUAUUGAAGCACUUGACUGGUUAACUAGCUCUAACCUCUAUGCUGCAAUAAUCAGUUCCUUCUCUGAACUGCAGGAUGUUCUCAGCAGACCAGACUCAAACUCCUGGGUUUCUGGACACUCACUCAUCAGUCCAGCCAGGAACUCCUUUGCAAAACUGAUGGACAACCUGAGCAUGUUGAUGGAGACAGUUCAAGGGAAACCUUGUGAGUGCAGAGCUUACCUGGAGAAGGACUCCCUGAUACAGAGGCUGGCUAGUGGACUCCACAGAGCAAAUGCCCAGGCUCUGGAAGCUGGAUUGUAUGACAGACUGCCCAGCACAAGAAUCACAGCAAUCUUGCAGCAAGAAAUAUCUGAAUUUUCACGGAGGCUUCAUAGAGCAGAGGAAGAGUCCUGCUCACUGCACUUGCAGCUUGAAGAAUUCAAAUUGACAUCCAACGAGAUGCAAAAAGAUGCUGAAAAAGCCCACAGACUGCAAGAGCAAUUAAAUGAGCUUCAGCAUAGCCUCUCUGAUGCAACUGUGGAGCUGAGGAGAAGAGACCAAGCUCUAAAUGACCAGAAGAAACUCCUGAAAGACAUGGAGCAGGACCGGCAGCAGCUGUGGGAGGCUCUCCAGGAGGCAGAAGGUGCCCUCCAACAGGCAGCAAAAGACAAUGAGUUGAUCAUUAAUCGUAUGAAAGCUGUGAAUGCCACCCUGAAUGCGGUAAGAAUUUGAAGUGUUCCCUCUGAUUUGUGUUUCCACACAUGCCAAAGUCUUCGAACUGCUUAUUCUUAGGGGAGAAGUUGUUGCAAAGCAACUUCCUUUGCUUAGAGUUGAAGUUCCCCCCUUAACCUAUUCCAUUUAAAAAAAAAUCACAGUGAAAUAAAAUGCAAGUCUGUAGUACACAAACAACUUGUUCUAAAUGUAGAAGUUUUGACAAAAUUCAUUUUCCUUCCCUCACUAAGUACUGUUUCUGGUUGCCAAGUGAAGAUUAAUGGAACACACAACAAAUUGGCAAUUGUUGUGGAUUUAGCCCUCUACUGAG
rnacentral:lncRNA from 12 species